rnacentral:lncRNA from 1 species
AAUUCUUAAAAGUUCAUCUUCUUUUAGUGUGGUUUGUACUCUAAUCCAGUAUACAAUGGUGAUUGGCCCUCAAGCGUGAAAGAACGCGUCAAAUUAAGAAGUCAGCUACAAGGAUAUAAUAGAAGUCGAUUACCAGAAUUUACUACAGAAGAGAUCAAUUACAUAAAAGGAACUUCUGACUUGUAUUUGCUGAAUGUUUAUUUUGCUUAUUUAGUUAAAGAUGUACCCGAAGCUCCCAGUAAUGUUACUAGUUUCAGAUCUGAUGUUAAAGCAGAACUCAUUCGAUUUCCUGGAACUAGUGUCGGAAUUAAUGGAAUGCCAAUCGUACCAUGGAGUGUAGAAAAUGUGUUGAAAUUUAUUAAGGACGAAUAUAAGGAUCCUAUUAUACUAAUUUCGGAAGUAGGUACUUCUGAAGACGGGACUUCUUUAGAAGAUGAUAUGAGAAUAGACUUUUAUGAA